CAGGUGGUGCAUGGUUGUCGUCAGCUCGUGUCGUGAGAUGUUGGGUUAAGUCCCGCAACGAGCGCAACCCUCGACCUUAGUUGCCAGCAUUCAGUUGGGCACUCUAAGGUGACUGCCGGCUAAAAGUCGGAGGAAGGUGGGGAUGACGUCAAAUCAUCAUGCCCCUUAUGACCUGGGCUACACACGUGCUACAAUGGGCGGUACAAAGGGUCGCGAACCCGCGAGGGGGAGCCAAUCCCAAAAAGCCGCUCUCAGUUCGGAUUGCAGGCUGCAACUCGCCUGCAUGAAGCCGGAAUCGCUAGUAAUCGUGGAUCAGCAUGCCGCGGUGAAUACGUUCCCGGGCCUU
rnacentral:rRNA from 1 species